rnacentral:rRNA from 1 species
GCUAUGUUGUAAGGGAAGAACCAGUGCGAGAGUUACUGUUCGUACUUUGACGGUACCUUAUUAGAAAAGCCACGGCUGACAUACGUGCCAGCAGUCGUCGGUAAUAUGUAGGUGGCGAGCGUUGUCCGGAAUUAUUGGGCGUAAAGCGCGCGCAGGCGGUCAUUUAAGUCUGAUGUGAAAGCACACGGCUCACCUGUGGAGGGUCAUUGGAAACUGGGGGACUUGUGUUCAGAAGAUGAAAGCGGAGUUCCUAGUGUAGCGGUGAAAUGCGUAGAGAUGUGGAGGAACACCAGUGGGGAAGGCGGCUUUCUGGUCUGUAACUGACGCUGAGGCGCGAAAGCGUGGGGAGCAAUCAGGAUUAGAUACCUUGGUAGUCCACGCCGUAAACGAUGAGUGCUAAGUGUUAGGGGGUUUCCGCCCCUUAGUGCUGCAGCUAACGCAUUAAGCACUCCGCCUGGGGAGUACGGCUGCAAGGCUGUAACUCAAAGGAAUUGACGGGGGCCCGCACAAGCGGUGGAGCAUGUGGUUUAAUUCGAAGCAACUCGAAGAACCUUACCAGGUCUUGACAUCUCUACUGACCAGGUAUUAGAGAGUAAGAUCUUUUGCCUUCGGGGAUCAGUGCGUGAGCAGGGUGGUGCACUGGUUGUCGUCAGCUCGUGUCGUGAGAUGUUGGGUUAAGUCCCGCACACGAGCGCUACCCUUGAUUUUAGUUGCCAGCAUUUAGUUGGGCACUCUAAGGCGAUUGCCGGUGACAAGCCGGAGGAAGGUGGGGAUGUCGUCAAAUCAUCAUGCCCCUUAUGAGCUGGGUUC